rnacentral:rRNA from 1 species
GUAGGGUGCAAGCGUUAAUCGGAAUUACUGGGCGUAAAGCGUGCGCAGGCGGGGUUUGUAAGUCUGUCGUGAAAGCCCCGGGGCUCAACCUGGGAAUUGCGAUGGAGACUGCAAGGCUUGAAUCUGGCAGAGGGGGGUAGAAUUCCACGUGUAGCAGUGAAAUGCGUAGAGAUGUGGAGGAACACCGAUGGCGAAGGCAGCCCCCUGGGUCAAGAUUGACGCUCAUGCACGAAAGCGUGGGGAGCAAACAGGAUUAGAUACCCUGGUAGUCCACGCCCUAAACGAUGUCUACUAGUUGUCGGGUUUUAAUUAACUUGGUAACGCAGCUAACGCGUGAAGUAGACCGCCUGGGGAGUACGGUCGCAAGAUUA